GGAGGGAUGGCAGAGCGGUAAUGCAGCGGAUUGCUAAUCCGUCAACCUGAUAAGGGUUGCGGGGGUUCAAGUCCCCCUCCCUCCGCCA
rnacentral:tRNA from 1 species